GCAUUCAAUAAGCGGAGGAAAAGAAACCAACAGGGAUUGCCCCAGUAACGGCGAAGUGAAGCGGCAACAGCUCAAAUUUGAAAUCUGGCCCCUAGGGCCCGAGUUGUAAUUUGCAGAAGGAUGCUUUUGGCGAGGUGCCUUCCGAGUUCCCUGGAACGGGACGCCAUAGAGGGUGAGAGCCCCGUCUGGUUGGACGCCGAGCCUAUGUAAAGCUCCUUCGACGAGUCGAGUAGUUUGGGAAUGCUGCUCUAAAUGGGAGGUAUAUGUCUUCUAAAGCUAAAUAUUGGCCAGAGACCGAUAGCGCACAAGUAGAGUGAUCGAAAGAUGAAAAGCACUUUGAAAAGAGGGUUAAAUAGUACGUGAAAUUGUUGAAAGGGAAGCACUUAUGACCAGACUUGGGCCCGGUGAAUCAUCCAGCGUUCUCGCUGGUGCACUUUGCCGGGCUCAGGCCAGCAUCAGUUUGCCUCGGGGGAUAAAGGCUCUGGGAAUGUGGCUCCCUCGGGAGUGUUAUAGCCCUCUGCACAAUACCCUGGGGCGGACUGAGGUUCGCGCAUCUGCUAGGAUGCUGGCGUAAUGGUCAUCAGUGACCCGUCUUGAAACACGGACCAAGGAGUCGUCUUCGUAUGCGAGUGUUCGGGUGUAAAACCCCUACGCGUAAUGAAAGUGAACGCAGGUGAGAGCUUCGGCGCAUCAUCGACCGAUCCUGAUGUUCUCGGAUGGAUUUGAGUAAGAGCAUACGGGGCCGGACCCGAAAGAAGGUGAACUAUGCCUGUAUAGGGUGAAGCCAGAGGAAACUCUGGUGGAGGCUCGCAGCGGUUCUGACGUGCAAAUCGAUCGUCAAAUAUGGGCAUGGGGGGCGAAAGACUAAUCGAACCUUCUAGUAGCUGGUUUCC
rnacentral:rRNA from 1 species